UCUAUAAUACUAUAAAAAAGAGAAGUGAUGGACAGGGAUGUAAUUUUACAUCAUGUACAACAUUGGAAGCAGCAUAUACAACACUUUGUAAGCAGAGAAAAUAGAAAAGGGUUUGGUAUUUUAAGACACUAAAGGGGUAGCCUAGGGAUUUCACUCCUACUGUUCCUUCAUUUUCCAUCGUCGAUUGAAAUUGAAUGCGAUCUUUUGGUAUUCGCCCUCCCCAUCUACCUUAUAACCUGAUUUUUAAUUCUUAAAGCUUCUAUCAAUGUCGAUGAAUAUCAUCUUCCCCCAAUCAAAGAUCAUAUGUCCCACUCGGGUUUUUGUUCGAGAUUGCAGGUGCAUAUCUUGAAGAUCUAUACUAGGCACGAGAGCAUUUUUCAUCAGGAUUAAAGUCAUGAAGAAGGAAUGGUUUGAAGGGAAAGAGUGUCUUGAUAUUGGCAGCAAUAAUGGAUUAAUAACAAUUACAAUUGGUAAUCGUUAAUAUACAGGUUUUGGUUAAAUGAAUUAUCAUCAGUUAGUUUUUUUUUUUUUUACAUGGUUUUGAAUACUAAUGGUUCAUUCAUUAAUGAUGCUGAGCUCGUGUCUGGUGACUGAAGCUACUUUUUCAUUUUGUCAUUGCAUUAUUGUUACACUAUACGGAGUGGGGGGCAUGAAAAGUGGCCGUUGUGCAACACGUGGACGCUACGCCAGCACGUGUCAGAAUAGUGGCGUGGUGCAAAAAGCUGGAGGAGUGGGAGGGGGCAUGAAAGGGCGGCGUUAUUUGACGCGUGGCACACACUUUGUCGGUUCUUCACUUUCUUCUUAGAGGUAAGCCAAGUAUGGAUGUUAUGAAGGAAGUUGGAAUCCUCUUUGGUAUAAAGGUUGACAAGGGUACAAUCGAACUUGCUGAACCAAUGGUGAGACCACCGCCCCAUGUCUAGAUGGUCUUGCCCAGCGACGUGCUAAAUACUACUCAGCCGGUUCCUGGUUUGCCAAGUGGCAUGCAGUUCUUAAGAUCGGCCCAAAAGAGCCACAAUUGCAUCACAUCUGUCCCCUACAAUUCUAAAAUAUGAGGGAGCGCCAAUUUAUCGUGCUUCUAAGCAAGCAUACUGGAGCAUUGAUUGUAAUUUUCCAGGGGCAUACCAUGCUGGGUUCAAUAGUGAAGAGGCUGUCAACGUGGCCCCAUGAAUUAGAUACAACACGGGCAAGUUGCAGUUGAGCUUUAUAGCUAUUUCUGGUGCAACGCUCUUAGUAAUCAACUUCUAAGAGGGUUAUAGAGAGAGAAAAUCGGGAACCAAAGAGACAGAGAGAGAAAUCAGGUGGGGAUCGAGAGGGAAAAUUGAGAGGUAUGACGAUAGGGAUGGUGAUGCUAACGAGAGGUGGUGGCUAUGGAAUGUGGAGUGGUGAAAAUGCAGCGACGAAAGGCGGUGCUACUUAAGCAGAACAAAAUUAGUUGUCGUUAGUAGCAUUGCUGAUAGCAGCUCUAAGGAAAUUAAUGGUGGUGUGUAGUGUUGAUCAUCGACAUUCGACAUUCGACAUGAUCAUAUCUCAGCUCAACAUCAGAUGGAAAUAGAAUGCCCCACAAAUGUUCAACAUUUAACAGAUGUUACUUUCAUAGAUUCAUUGACGAAUUUGCAAAAGUUUAUCAACAGCUCAAUUAUGUCCAGGUUGGUUUUCUCUACUAAUCAUGUAUGCUCUUGUAUUUCAUUAGUUGUAGUGUUUGGAUGUGUGUUUUGAUAAGAAUCAUGGAUGUAAUAAAACAGAUCAUUAGUUGUAAUAAAACAGUUUGAAGGAGGUGGUGCCUGGAUGUGCCUUUGCUUUUUGAAACCAGACUA
rnacentral:lncRNA from 1 species